GAAUUCGAUUCAGGCCUAACACAUGCAAGUCGAGCGGGGUUUUCGGACCUAGCGGCGGACGGGUGAGUAAUGCGUAGGAAGCUACCCGAUAGAGGGGGAUACCAGUUGGAAACGACUGUUAAUACCGCAUAAUGUCUACGGACCAAAGUGUGGGACCUUCGGGCCACAUGCUAUCGGAUGCGCCUACGUGGGAUUAGCUAGUUGGUGAGGUAAUGGCACACCAAGGCGACGAUCUCUAGCUGGUUUGAGAGGAUGAUCAGCCACACUGGAAUUGAGGCACGGUCCAGACUCCUACGGGAGGCAGCAGUGGGGAAUAUUGGACAAUGGGCGCAAGCCUGAUCCUUUCAGGGCGCGUGUGUGAAGAA
rnacentral:rRNA from 1 species